rnacentral:rRNA from 1 species
GAUGAACGCUGGCGGCGUGCCUAAUGCAUGCAAGUCGAGCGAACAGACGAGGAGCUUGCUCCUCUGACGUUAGCGGCGGACGGGUGAGUAACACGUGGAUAACCUACCUAUAAGACUGGGAUAACUUCGGGAAACCGGAGCUAAUACCGGAUAAUAUAUUGAACCGCAUGGUUCAAUAGUGAAAGACGGUUUUGCUGUCACUUAUAGAUGGAUCCGCGCCGGAUUAGCUAGUUGGUAAGGUAACGGCUUACCAAGGCAACGAUGCGUAGCCGACCUGAGAGCGUGGUCGGCCACCCUGGAACUGAGACACGGUCCAGACUCCUACGGGAGGCAGCAGUAGGGAAUCUUCCGCAAUGGGCGAAAGCCUGACGGAGCAACGCCGCGUGAGUGAUGAAGGUCUUCGGAUCGUAAAACUCUGUUAUUAGGGAAGAACAAAUGUGUAAGUAACUAUGCACGUCUUGACGGUACCUAAUCAGAAAGCCACGGCUAACUACGUG